CCAUUUUCUUCUAAUUCUCUCUAUUUUCUUCCUAUUUCUUUCCCUAUUUUCCUUUUUUACUUUCUUCCUUCCAUUUUCUCUUCACCCACCUUUUCCUUCAUCUUCUCUUUUUCUCCUCUCUUUCCUUUCAUUUUCUUUAUUCGUCAUCUCAUUUUUUUUUCCUUUUUGUCUCUCUAACUCGUGGCCGCCUCUCGCCGUUGUCGAUGACUUCAUUGUCGGUGGCACCAUUGCCGACGAUAGUUCUUUCCGAUGCCGACAGUCAUUCCCCCUCCGACCAUAUUUUUUUCUCUCUCUCUCUCUUCUUUCCUACCCAUCAUCAUCUACCACGAUCUUUUACCAUAACCAUUAUCCUUCCAUCUUUAUCCAGGACGACUGCUAUUAUUGUGGUUACCCUCUCAUUGCAUCUUUCUU
rnacentral:lncRNA from 1 species